CCUUUACUAUAGCUUGACACUGAACAUUGAGCCUUGAUGUGUAGGAUAGGUGGGAGGCUUUGAAGCGUGGACGCCAGUCUGCGUGGAGCCGACCUUGAAAUACCACCCUUUAAUGUUUGAUGUUCUAACGUGGACCCGUUACCCGGGUUGCGGACAGUGUCUGGUGGGUAGUUUGACUGGGGCGGUCUCCUCCUAAAGAGUAACGGAGGAGCACGAAGGUUGGCUAAUCCUGGUCGGACAUCAGGAGGUUAGUGCAAUGGCAUAAGCCAGCUUGACUGCGAGCGUGACGGCGCGAGCAGGUGCGAAAGCAGGUCAUAGUGAUCCGGUGGUUCUGAAUGGAAGGGCCAUCGCUCAACGGAUAAAAGGUACUCCGGGGAUAACAGGCUGAUACCGCCCAAGAGUUCAUAUCGACGGCGGUGUUUGGCACCUCGAUGUCGGCUCAUCACAUCCUGGGGCUGAAGUAGGUCCCAAGGGUAUGGCUGUUCGCCAUUUAAAGUGGUACGCGAGCUGGGUUUAGAACGUCGUGAGACAGUUCGGUCCCUAUCUGCCGUGGGCGCUGGAGAACUGAGGGGGGCUGCUCCUAGUACGAGAGGACCGGAGUGGACGCAUCACUGGUGUUCGGGUUGUCAUGCCAAUGGCACUGCCCGGUAGCUAAAUGCGGAAGAGAUAAGUGCUGAAAGCAUCUAAGCACGAAACUUGCCCCGAGAUGAGUUCUCCCUGAGA
rnacentral:rRNA from 1 species